UUAAGGUUCAGGGCAGGGUACUGGGUGGUAGCUGGCUAGAACAGUGAUUAAGGUUCAGGGCAGAGUACUGGGUGGUAGCUGGCUAGAACAGUGAUUAAGGUUCAGGGCAGAGUACUGGGUGGUAGCUGGCUAGAACAGUGAUUAAGGUUCAGGGCAGGGUACUGGGUGGUAGCUGGCUAGAACAGUGAUUAAGGUUCAGGGCAGAGUACUGGGUGGUAGCUGGCUAGAACAGUGAUUAAGGUUCAGGGCAGGGUACUGGGUGGUAGCUGGCUAGAACAGUGAUUAAGGUUCAGGGCAGGGUACUGGGUGGUAGCUGGCUAGAACAGUGAUUAAGGUUCAGGGCAGGGUACUGGGUGGUAGCUGGCUAGAACAGUGAUUAAGGUUCAGGGCAGGGUACUGGGUGGUAGCUGGCUAGAACAGUGAUUAAGGUUCAGGGCAGGGUACUGGGUGGUAGCUGGCUAGAACAGUGAUUAAGGUUCAGGGCAGGGUACUGGGUGGUAGCUGGCUAGAACAGUGAUUAAGGUUCAGGGCAGGGUACUGGGUGGUAGCUGGCUAGAACAGUGAUUAAGGUUCAGGGCAGGGUGCUGGGCGGCUAGUGGUGACUAUUUAACUGUCUGAUGGCCUGGAGACAGAAUCAGUUUAUCAGGUCUCUCGGUCCCAUCUUUGAUGCACCUGUACAGUCUCCUACUUCUAGAUGGCAGCGGG